rnacentral:misc_RNA from 1 species
GAGAGAGAGAGAGAGAGAGGAGUACCAAUGGAGACUCUAGUCUCCUCUCUUGUUUGAUUCUGAUUAUGAAAUAUUAGACAACAAUUUUUUUCUUGUCCAUUUCAAUCAAGCUUUUCAGAGAAACUAAUCAUCAAAAGCUUUGGCAUCAGAGAUACUUAUUUCAGAAUUUUGGUGUGUAUCUUGAACUGUAGCAACUUCAAAUUUUUACACAUUGGACUAGCCCUAACAUUAGCUUAAAGCUUAUUGUAGUUAUAUGGCAGCCAAAAUUGACAACUGUUCAGCUUCCCAACUGAGGAUGUGAAUAUUCUGAUUUUAUAAUAUGAGUUGCCCAUCCUGGAUCACCUAAGUGAGGAAACAUUUUGUAUUUUCAAGUAAUCUUGUGGCUUUUAAAAAUAUAGGU